rnacentral:rRNA from 1 species
CUACGGGCUGCUCCAGUGGGGAAUAUUGCACAAUGGAGGAAACUCUGAUGCAGCAACGCCGCGUGGAGGAUGACACUUUUCGGAGCGUAAACUCCUUUUAUAUAGGAAGAAGAUGACGGUACUAUAUGAAUAAGCGCCGGCUAACUCCGUGCCAGCAGCCGCGGUAAUACGGAGGGCGCAAGCGUUACUCGGAAUCACUGGGCGUAAAGAGCGUGUAGGCGGAUUAAAAAGUCAGAAGUGAAAUCCUAUAGCUUAACUAUAGAACUGCUUCUGAAACUCUUAAUCUAGAAUGUGGGAGAGGUAGAUGGAAUUUCUGGUGUAGGGGUAAAAUCCGUAGAGAUCAGAAGGAAUACCGAUUGCGAAGGCGGUCUACUAGAACAUUAUUGACGCUGAGACGCGAAAGCGUGGGGAGCAAACAGGAUUAGAUACCCGGGUAGUC